AUUGAACGCUGGCGGCAUGCUUUACACAUGCAAGUCGAACGGCAGCGAGGAGAAGCUUGCUUCUCUGUCGGCGAGUGGCGCACGGGUGAGUAUAGCAUCGGAACGUGCCAAGUAGUGGGGGAUAACCAAACGAAAGUUUGGCUAAUACCGCGUAAGCUCUAAGGAGGAAAGUAGGGGACCUAAAUAAGGCCUUACGCUAUUUGAUCGGCCGAUGUCGGAUUAGCUAGUUGGUGGGGUAAUGGCUCACCAAGGCAAUGAUCCGUAGCGGGUCUGAGAGGACGAUCCGCCACACUGGGACUGAGACGCGGCCCAGACUCCUACGGGAGGCAGCAGUGGGGAAUUUUGGACAAUGGGGGAAACCCUGAUCCAGCCAUGCCGCGUGUAUGAAGAAGGCCUUAGGGUUGUAAAGUACUUUUGUUAGGGAAGAAAAGCUAGUUUUUAAUAAAAAUUAGUGAUGACGGUACCUAAAGAAUAAGCACCGGCUAGCUACGUG
rnacentral:rRNA from 1 species